CCUACGGGAGGCAGCAGUGGGGAAUUUUCCGCAAUGGGCGUAAGCCUGACGGAGCAAUACCGCGUGAGGGAUGAAGGCUCGUGGGUCGUAAACCUCUUUUCCCAAGGAAGAAGUUCUGACGGUACUUGGGGAAUAAGCAUCGGCUAAUUCCGUGCCAGCAGCCGCGGUAAUACGGGAGAUGCGAGCGUUAUCCGGAAUCACUGGGCGUAAAGCGUCUGUAGGUUGUUUGUUAAGUCUGUUGUUAAAAACUGAAGCUCAACUUCAGGGGUGCGGCAGAAACUGGCAAACUUGAGUAUGGUAGGGGUAGGAGGAAUUUCUAGUGUAGCGGUGAAAUGCGUAGAUAUUAGGAAGAACACCAUUAGCGAAGGCGUCCUACUGGGCCAAAACUGACACUCAGAGACGAAAGCUAGGGGAGCAAACGGGAUUAGAUACCCCGGUAGUCCUAGCCGUAAACGAUGGAUACUAGAUGUCGCGGGUUUACCUGCGGUGUCGUAGCUAACGCGUUAAGUAUCCCGCCUGGGAAGUACGCACGCAAGUGUGAAACUCAAAGGAAUUGACGG
rnacentral:rRNA from 1 species